rnacentral:rRNA from 1 species
UAGAGUUUGAUCAUGGCUCAGAUUGAACGCUGGCGGCAGGCUUAACACAUGCAAGUCGAGCGGUAGCACAGGGGAGCUUGCUCCCCGGGUGACGAGCGGCGGACGGGUGAGUAAUGUCUGGGAAACUGCCUGAUGGAGGGGGAUAACUACUGGAAACGGUAGCUAAUACCGCAUAACGUCGCAAGACCAAAGAGGGGGACCUUCGGGCCUCUUGCCAUCAGAUGUGCCCAGAUGGGAUUAGCUAGUAGGUGGGGUAAUGGCUCACCUAGGCGACGAUCCCUAGCUGGUCUGAGAGGAUGACCAGCCACACUGGAACUGAGACACGGUCCAGACUCCUGCGGGAGGCAGCAGUGGGGAAUAUUGCACAAUGGGCGCAAGCCUGAUGCAGCCAUGCCGCGUGUGUGAAGAAGGCCUUCGGGUUGUAAAGCACUUUCAGCGAGGAGGAAGGUGGUGAGCUUAACACGCUCAUCAAUUGACGUUACUCGCAGAAGAAGCACCGGCUAACUCCGUGCCAGCAGCCGCGGUAAUACGGAGGGUGCAAGCGUUAAUCGGAAUUACUGGGCGUAAAGCGCACGCAGGCGGUUUGUUAAGUCAGAUGUGAAAUCCCCGGGCUCAACCUGGGAACUGCAUUUGAAACUGGCAAGCUAGAGUCUCGUAGAGGGGGGGUAGAAUUCCGGGUGUUAGCGGUGA